rnacentral:tRNA from 2 species
GCGCUCUUAGCUCAGUUUGGAUAGAGCAACGGCCUUCUAAGCCGUAGGUCACAGGUUCAAAUCCUGUAGAGCGUG